AGAGUUUGAUCAUGGCUCAGAAUGAACGCUGGCGGCGUGCUUAACACAUGCAAGUCGAACGAGAAAUCUCCCGCUUGCGGGAGAAAGUAAAGUGGCGCACGGGUGAGUAACGCGUGGGUAAUUUUCCUCCGAAUCCGGGAUAACAUUGCGAAAGCGGUGCUAAUACCGGAUGAAACCGCGGAUGCUCCGGCAUCAUCGGUCAAAGGGAGCCUCUGCAUGCAAGCUUCUGUUCGGAGAUAAGCCCGCGUACCAUUAGCUGGUUGGCAGGGUAACGGCCUACCAAGGCUGCGAUGGUUAGCUGGUCUGAGAGGAUGAUCAGCCACACCGGAACUGACACACGGUCCGGACUCCUACGGGAGGCAGCAGUGAGGAAUUUUGCGCAAUGGGGGAGACCCUGACGCAGCAACGCCGCGUGAGUGAAGAAGGCUUUCGGGUCGUAAAGCUCUGUCCGGAGGGAAGAACCUGCAGCGAGUCAACAGCUCGCGGCACUGACGGUACCUCCGAAGGAAGCACCGGCUAACUCCGUGCCAGCAGCCGCGGUAAUACGGAGGGUGCAAGCGUUAUUCGGAUUUAUUGGGCGUAAAGGGCGCGCAGGCGGCCUUUUAAGUCAGAUGUGAAAGCCCGGGGCUCAACCCCGGAAGCGCAUUUGAAACUGGAAGGCUUGAGUAUGGCAGAGGGAAGCGGAAUUCCUGGUGUAGAGGUGAAAUUCGUAGAUAUCAGGAGGAACACCGGUGGCGAAGGCGGCUUCCUGGACCAAUACUGACGCUGAGGCGCGAAGGCGUGGGGAGCAAACAGGAUUAGAUACCCUAGUAGUCC
rnacentral:rRNA from 1 species